CUCCAGGACUGGUCGGUCUGUUUCAAAUGGCUUGUCUGCAUUAACAAUGUUCUUCACUUUGAUAGGUCUCAGAUGUCAGUUUUUUGUUGGUUUUCUUAAAAAAUUUUUCUUUCAUUUACAUAUGAACUCCUAAUUAGUUUACAAAUGAAAAUACUUAAAAUGUCUCCCUCUAUCUCCUAGUCUUCCUGGGAAAAUAAAAUGAUAUAAACUGUACAAAAGAAACUUGAAAACAGGCAGUAUUAUAGCCAGUGCUGGCUCAUUCAAGGACAUUUGGAGCAUCACUGCAUUUUCUUCUUGAUGCCAAGGAAGAAUUCUAGUUAAGGCUGUGCAGGUGAAGCUAACCUCUGAUCUAAUCAGGAUGAACAGGCCUUUCUGUGCCCUCUCCUCUUCACAAGACCUUUUACAGUCUCUUCAAAUGUGCAAAACUUGCAAAGUACUCUGCCUCUAUUAUAUACAUAUCAUAGGGAAACUUUCAUAACUUACUAGAUUUUUCCCUCUAAAAGUAAAGGAUAGAAUGAAAGGACGCGGAGUAGGGAGAGAGAAAGGGACUGAAGAUACCAUCACUCUCUAAGUAUUAAAGUUAGGUUCUUUAAUUUAGUUUUAACAGCCAGCGCAAAGCUAACCGGUCCCUCUACAGUAUGAGGACCAAACAUAAGAAAUCUUGGCAUCCAUUAAAAGCCCUCUUAAUAGCACAGUAUCACUAGGUGUCAAGAGAGCAAGAGAAAUCCAUCACAGAGGAGGACUGAGCCAAAGCAGUCCCCUUCUAUAAUUUUUGAAAGUUGUCUGCUUGAAGAUCUUCCUUUGGAGUUCCUUCAAAUAUAACUAACUAGCGAUGUGCAACGUGCAUUACAGAGUAUCUAGAUCUAUGUCAGGGGCAGAGCGUGGCGUCAUGCAGGUAAAAAGAGAACAGUUACGACGCGAAGACAGUCGCCUAGAGUCUCGCCGGAGAACCCCUUCCAAUACCCUUCAUAUUCCUCAGCGCCCCCAGAAAGGUCCAAAUCAGCGAGGUCUUGGGGAACACACUCCUUAGAGAUGCCGGAGAGGGGGCUCCUGAGCAGAGUUGAGCGCGAAAGUUACAUUCUGCGGCCCCCACCUGCAAAAAAUCCCAUCCCAGGCGCCAGCGCCAGAUGGAAAACGAAGAAAAUUCCAAUCUGCCCCUAAAAUCGGUCUUUUGCCUAAGUUUUCUCCUAGCUAGCCGACACUAGCUGGCCCUGCGAACGAGGGUGCACGAUGCUGCGGUUUGGAAGUGUCUGCUGGCAUCUGGGCAAAACACCACGUGAAAAAUAAAAACCA